rnacentral:rRNA from 1 species
UACGGAGGGUGCAAGCGUUAUCCGGAUUCACUGGGUUAAAGGGUGCGUAGGCGGGCAGGUAAGUCAGUGGUGAAAUCCUUGAGCUUAACUCGAGAACUGCCAUUGAUACUAUCUGUCUUGAAUAUUGUGGAGGUAGCGGAAUAUGUCAUAGCGGUGAAUGCUUAGAUAUGAACAUAGAACACCUAUUGCGAAGGCAUGCUACUACGCAUAUAUUGACGCUGGAGGCACGAAAGCGUGGGGAUCAAACAGG